GCCAAAUUGGAGCACUGGCUGGAUUGCUGUCGACCUCGCAUUUCAGGCUGACGGACAUCCCCUCGACGAUCGGAAUUCCAAAACCAGGGCAACUUAACCCCAUCCUCUCGAGGUCGCCCGUAGCUAUGGAC